AAGUCGUAACAAGGUUUCCGUAGGUGAACCUGCGGAAGGAUCAUUACCGAGUAAGGGUCUUCCAGGCCCGACCUCCAACCCUUUGUUUAACCAACCUCGUUGCUUUGGCGGGCCCGCCCUAUGGGGCCGCCGAGGGCUUUACUGCCCUUAGCCUGUGCCCGCCGGUAGCCUUUUUAAAUACUUAAUAACCGUGUUGUCUGAGUAUAUAUAUAAAUCGUUUAAAACUUUCAACAACGGAUCUCUUGGUUCUG
rnacentral:misc_RNA from 1 species